rnacentral:tRNA from 1 species
GCCUGGCUGGCUCAGUUGGUUAAGCGUUGGACUUGGGCUCAGGUCACGAUCUCAUGGUUCGUGGGUUCGAGUCCCAUGUCAGGCU